UGAAAACGUAAACAACAAAACCGAUGUGCAUUUAACGAAACCAUAUUUUUCCGCGUGCAGUAGAUUCUUGGCACAUACUUCCAAACAAAGUUGUGUAAACAAUCGACUGCAAAGGACACAAAGAACUAGCUGCAGUCCCAGCAAGAUGGAUGGAAACUUCCAGCAGGGGCUAAUUUCUUCUUCGGGAAAAUAGUAAGAGUUGAACAAAUCAGAAGAACAGCUUGGAACGAAGAAUACAUACGGAACUUUUUAUAAUGGCUCAAUUCCAACAUCGAGGGCGAAUGUCAGAGAACAGAAUGUUGCAGGCGUAAAUUUGUUUUUUCUUUAAAAUUUCAAGCCGAUUGUACCUGGACAGGAUCAAGCCGAGUCGCAUCUAAAAUAGCCAUACUGACAAACCUUUAACAUUUGAACAUUUUUCAAAAAAAUACUCACAACACAACACAAAAGCUUAAAAAUGCCACGAAACGAUUGACAAAUACUGGGCAGAGACGUGGCGCUCGGAAAAUGCUCAUUCAAAAAUAAAAACCAUCAAAGAUUUCAACAGACUUAGAUGAACCAAUUUCGAGUGAAAUGUCUUCUAAUAUUGGACACUCCGAUGACCAGGCCAGAGAUGAUUGUAGUAGUGAUUCAAAAUAACAUUUUGUCAUUAAUUUUCCAUUUUAUGUAUCCAUUUAAAACAAACAUGAAAUAAAUAUUAUU